rnacentral:ncRNA from 2 species
AGGUGGGAUUAGCUAGUUGGUGAGGUAAUGGCUCACCAAGGCGACGAUCCCUAGCUGGUCUGAGAGGAUGAUCAGCCACACUGGAACUGAGACACGGUCCAGACUCCUACGGGAGGCAGCAGUGGGGAAUAUUGCACAAUGGGCGAAAGCCUGAUGCAGCCAUGCCGCGUGUAUGAAGAAGGCCUUCGGGUUGUAAAGUACUUUCAGUCGUGAGGAAGG